rnacentral:tRNA from 1 species
GGAGAUGUAGCUCAGUUGGUAGAGUACUUGCCUAGCAAGUAUGAAGUCUAGGUUUGACACCCAGCAUCACAU